CAGUGAGCCAAACUGGCUAGGGCACAGGUUAUAUUUUUUAGGAAUAAAAACAAUUUGGGCUUCCAUAAUUUAAUCAACCUAAUUCCCCACCCCAUCCCCAUUCACCCCUAAAUAGCCAAAUGAGCAAAAGAAGGCACUUGUUGUAUUUUUAAAAACAUUUUUUACCCACUCCUUAGCUACUUUCUUUGGACUGAUAUCUGAAAUGCCACCAUUGGGACCUUAUACCUUGAUGCUUUCUUAAGGAAAAGAUACCCUUUGGGUGAGGUAAAUAUCACUCUAUUAGCAGCCAUCCAUUACUUUAAUGUGAAUGGAUUACCUGAGAAAGGGAUGUUGAAAAACUACAUAAGGGAUCCAAGUAUGAGGGCCUUGAGCUGUGAGCCAUAGGAGAGCACCCUGCACUGAUUAAAAGGGAUGCCACCAAACAAAAUCAGGACAGAAAAGGGGAAACAGGAGUUUCCAAUGACACAAACUUCACUUCACAGGUUUGCUGUUGGACACCCCUGUCCCAAACGCCUAGUGAAGGGGGCAAUAGAAAUUAAACAGGGUGAAGGGAGUUGAAGUCGGCUAAAGACUUUUCCAUAAAGGAACGUCGCCUAUGUCUAAUUGAAUAAAAAGCGGCCUGGGAAGAGGUGUGAGGGCUCUACUAGAAUCAUGUAUCUGAAAUACAGUGGCAGAAAAGCAAAAGUUAAAAUAAAAACUGAGCUACAGGUUGUGACCAUUCAUCUCUUUUCCACUCCCUUGUGCUGUUGACUGUUGCAAUGUAUCUGUGGCAGAGAAAGAAGACCACGCAGCAGUGAGAGAAGUCAGAGGACACCACUUCAACAGUUAUCCAAAAAUAGGACAGACACCUCUCUGCCUGCACAAGGACAUGCCGGGUCACUCAGCCUGGCUGCACAAGCCGUUAUCGGAAAAGGUAGGCGUGGAGAAUAAUGAGAGAAAGGAAGAGACAUGACUCAGAGUGGGAAACAGCACGUAGCCAAGGGCAAAUGUUUCUCCCAGACACACAUGGCUCAGGAAGAGACUGAAGCCACAGGUCAUCGGUGGAGCAUUCUUUUCUCUCCCUGACUCUGGGUAGCUUGUCAUCGAGCACCUGCCUGUGACAAAAGGGGAGAGAAAGGCCGUGAGCAGGCCCUGCCUCUCUGGCCGAUGGCACACCAGCGGCUGGCCCCGUUAACUGGGCCAGGGAAACAAGGAGUCACUUGGAAAGUUUCGGAGAUAAACACACCAUUUCCCAGUGAGGCAAGCGGCAAGGGCUAACAUGCUUCUCUCACAGAGAAGGAAACCGGUUGGAAUCCUGAUCUCCUGUACAAAAAAUAAAUAAAAGAUCGCCUUUACAAA